AUCGCACUAGAUAAUAUAGUUACAGUGCCUUGCGAAAGUAUUCGGCCCCCUUGAACUUUUCGACCUUUUGCCACAUUUCAGGCUUCAAACAAAGAUAUAAAAAUGUAAUUUUUUGUGAAGAAUCAACAACAAGUGGGACACAAUCAUGAAGUGGAACGAAAUUUAUUGGAU